GCCAGAGUGGUGCAAUGGUUUAAGUAUUGGGACUGCAACUCUGGAGACCAAGGUUCAAGUCCCUGCUCAGUCA